rnacentral:rRNA from 2 species
UCUGGUGAUUAUAGCGAUGGGGAAACACCUCUUCCCAUUCCGAACAGAGAAGUUAAGCCCAUCAGCGCCGAUGGUACUAUAUCGUCCGCGAUAUGGGAGAGUCGGUCAUCACCAGGG